AGAGAUGCAUUGGGCGUAAAGUGUGCGCAGGCGGUUUUGUAAGACAGAGGUGAAAUCCCCGGGCUCAACCUGGGAACUGCCUUUGUGACUGCAAGGCUGGAGUGCGGCAGAGGGGGAUGGAAUUCCGCGUGUAGCAGUGAAAUGCAUAGAUAUGCGGAGGAACACCGAUGGCGAAGGCAAUCCCCUGGGCCUGCACUGACGCUCAUGCACGAAAGCGUGGGGAGCAAACA
rnacentral:rRNA from 1 species